rnacentral:tRNA from 1 species
GGAGGGAUGGCAGAGCGGACGAAUGCGACGGUCUUGAAAACCGUUGGGCCUUCACGGGUCCCGUGGGUUCGAAUCCCACUCCCUCCG